AGCUUGUAGAAGUAUUAUAAGUAUUGCCUGCCCAGUGCAAUGUAAACGGCCGCAGAACUUUAACUGUGCAAAGGUAGCAUAAUAAUUUGUCUUUUAAUUGGUGACUGUAUGAAUGGCUAAACGGGGUUUAACUGUCUAUUUUGGUUUAAUUGAAAUUGCUUAUGAGGUGAAAAUACCUUAGGACGCAAAAAAGACGAGAAGACCCUUAGAGUUUUAACUAAUAGGGAUAUGUCCCCAUGGUUUUAGUUGGGGCAACUAAGGAGAUAACCUCCUUUUUUACUUGAAAUAAGUUGGUAAGAAUAAACUACCUAAGGGAUAACAGCAUUAUCCAUUUUUGGGAUUGUGACCUCGAUGUUGGACUAGGACAUUUUAUCCACAGAAAGGGUAACUUUUAGCUCUGUUCGAGCAAAACCUCCU
rnacentral:rRNA from 1 species